rnacentral:rRNA from 1 species
UACAGAGGGGGCAAGCGUUGUUCGGAAUUACUGGGCGUAAAGGGCGCGUAGGCGGCCGCCUAAGUCAGACGUGAAAUCCCUCGGCUCAACCGGGGAACUGCGUCUGAUACUGGGUGGCUUGAAUCCGGGAGAGGGAUGCGGAAUUCCAGGUGUAGCGGUGAAAUGCGUAGAUAUCAGGAGGAACACCGGUGGCGAAGGCGGCUCACCGGCCCGGUACUGACGCUGAGGUGCGAAAGCGUGGGGAGCAAACAGG